UGAGGAAUAUUGGUCAAUGGGCGAUAGCCUGAACCAGCCAAGUCGCGUGAGGGAAGACGGCCCUAUGGGUUGUAAACCUCUUUUGUCGGGGAGCAAGGUCGCUACGUGUAGCGAUUUGAGAGUACCCGAAGAAAAAGCAUCGGCUAACUCCGUGCC
rnacentral:rRNA from 1 species